rnacentral:lncRNA from 1 species
CUGCCUCUGACCUCUCUAUGGCAAGCCAAAUGGCCAUGGGAAGACCCCAUGGAGUGUCAGAAUGAUGCCGUUGAGGGCAAGGAUUUUAGACCGGUCAUGGAUUCUGCCUGUGCACUGGGCUCUACCACUUUCUAGCUAUCUGGCUACUAGCAAGUUACCUUAACAAUCUAAGUUUCAACCUCCCCAUUCGUGAAAUGGAGAUGAUGUCUUAGUCAUAGAAGUAGCAAGUCUACUGCAUAUCAACAGUGUAGCACUGAGCCUGGCUCUUUGUAAGUGUUCGGCUGGAGCGCAGUGGGAUGAUCUCUGCUCACUGCAGCCUCUGCCUUCUGGGUUCAAGUGAUUCUCCUGCCUCAGCCGGAUAAGGAAACAGGCCGAGAGACGCAAGUCAAACAGCAAAGGAUGGUCUGCUGUCUGUCUGACUCCAAUGCCAAUGGUCUUUCCUCUAUAACCUAAAGCAAUAAAACCCCUGCAACAUCU